rnacentral:ncRNA from 1 species
AUAAAUGGGCAAACCUGUCGAAAGGCAGGGACGCAAAGCUAUGGUGUCUAACCGAGGUAUUCGUAUGACAGACCGGCUGC